AGAGUAUGCCGGGUGAUCGCAGAGUAAAAUCUGAGGAAAGUCCGGGCUCCGCAGGGCAGGGAGCCGGGUAACACCCGGCGGAGGCGACUCCAGGGACAGUGCUACAGAAACUAUACCGCCUCAUUUAUGAGGUAAGGGUGCAACGGCAGGGUAAGAGCCUGCCGGCAGCAGGGUAACUUGCUGCGUCAAGGUAAACCCCUCCCGGAGCAAGACCUGAUAGGGGGCAUAGAUAACGCUGCAAGGCGGGAUCUGCCGGUUGCCCGCCGGAUAACCCCGGGUAGGUCGCUGCUGGGGAGUUUUAGCUCCCCGACGAGGCGUUCGGAAACGGGCGUCCAAGAGAAAUGAUCAUCCAAGACAGAACCCGGCUUACAGGCAUACUCUCACU
rnacentral:RNase_P_RNA from 1 species